rnacentral:rRNA from 1 species
UGAGUAACACGUGAGCAAUCUGCCCCUGACUCUGGGAUAACAGUUGGAAACAGCUGCUAAUACCGGAUAUGAGACGUGACCGCAUGGUCGACGUUUGGAAAGAAUUUCGGUCAGGGAUGAGCUCGCGGCCUAUCAGCUUGUUGGUGAGGUAAUGGCUCACCAAGGCGUCGACGGGUAGCCGGCCUGAGAGGGUGACCGGCCACACUGGGACUGAGACACGGCCCAGACUCCUACGGGAGGCAGCAGUGGGGAAUAUUGCACAAUGGGCGAAAGCCUGAUGCAGCAACGCCGCGUGAGGGACGACGGCCUUCGGGUUGUAAACCUCUUUUAGCAGGGAAGAAGCGAAAGUGACGGUACCUGCAGAAAAAGCGCCGGCUAACUACGUGCCAGCAGCCGCGGUAAUACGUAGGGCGCAAGCGUUAUCCGGAAUUAUUGGGCGUAAAGAGCUCGUAGGCGGUUUGUCGCGUCUGCUGUGAAAACUGGAGGCUCAACCUCCAGCCUGCAGUGGGUACGGGCAGACUAGAGUGCGGUAGGGGAGAUUGGAAUUCCUGGUGUAGCGGUGGAAUGCGCAGAUAUCAGGAGGAACACCGAUGGCGAAGGCAGAUCUCUGGGCCGUAACUGACGCUGAGGAGCGAAAGGGUGGGGAGCAAACAGGCUUAGAUACCCUGGUAGUCCACCCCGUAAACGUUGGGAACUAGUU